GGGCGGAGUCAGGGUAGAGGCCCCCGCCGAGAAAGGGGAGAAAGAGGCGGGCCCUGAGAAUUGGCUCGAGCGCGAAGGGGUGAGUGAUAGUCAUCUCUGAACUCUGAGACCCUGAGCAGCAGGAAGAUGGUGAAUAAAUGCAAGCCCCAGCUAUACAAUUACAACCUAGCCUGAGAGGAGGAAGAGGCCAGGAGGUGCAACUUCAGGUCCCAGGCGCCUCGCAACCAGCUUGCUCAUCUCAGGGUCCGCGAGACUGGGAUUUACACAAGCAGCACAGUCCCCUUGCAGAUUCUGCCUCUCUUUAAGCCCCCCUCAAACCACCACUUCAGGACAUCUUUUCUGACUCAGGGAUUUCUUUCUCCUGGG
rnacentral:lncRNA from 1 species